UAUGUGAGUGUCAGGGUGCUUUAUCAGUGCAGGCCAGCUUGGACUUUUAUACACUCUCAUGCCUCUGAGUGAUGAGUUGCAAACCACUCCUGCUAUGAACACAUGCAACAGCUACGACCACACACUCCUGCUGCGACCACACACAACAGGGAAGAGUUGGCAUUGAUGAUGAGGGGGUUCCUGCCAUGUGUGACCCAACUCCUGGGUCUGCUCCUCCUCUUAAUGACCCCAGGGAGGGUUGAAGGGUCAUCAGGCUGUCCCUUGUCCUGCACCUGUCAUGGUGGUCAGGUAGACUGCAGCAGCCGCACCCUCACCACCUCCUCUUUACCCUCCCACUUCCCUCCUGCCAGCAUCGAGCUCCGUCUCCACGACAACCAGCUGACCACGCUCCCCAACGGCCUGCUGGACUCCCUUUCCUCCCUCCGCUCUGUCUCUCUCCAUGGCAACCCCUGGGCGUGUGAUUGCAGUGUGCUCUACCUGCGUUCCUGGCUGCUCAAACAGCCUGUCGACUAUGUGGGACACAGCAACGUCACCUGCAGUUCCCCUCCCAGCCUGCGGGGAAGGCUGGUGGUCUACCUGGCUGAGGAGGAGGUUUUGGAGUCCUGUCACUACUGGUACUGUGACCUGGCACUGGCCUCCCAGGUCUUUCUGUUUGUGUUUGUGGCGGUGCAGGUGGGGCUGCUGGGUGCCAUGGUCGUGUUCCUGAGGAGGUUUGAAAGGCUGUCCCAUGAGGCACGAAGGACCACAGAGGAGAGCUUCGCUGGGGGGGUAGGGGCUUAUGAGUAAUAGUGAGUAUGAGCCCCUGAAGGCCAGCAGCAUCUGAAGAGGGUGGGAGGGGCCAAGUAGGCAAGGAGGGAGAAGAGGGAGAGGAAACAGCAAAAGGCAGAGUAGAGAGAGAACCGUAAAGGGAUCAAGCUGGUGAGCUUGAAAGGGGACUCACAGGACAAGAAACAUGGGCAAAUACAAGUGGUUGUGCAUUUAUAUUCUGGGGAUUCUUUCAAUAUGUUUUAUUGCUUGCAUCACUCAAUAAAGCUGUUAAAAUAAUA